GGUUGUGGCUCAAAGGUAGAAUGCUCGCCUAGCAUGCAUGAGGCUCUGAGUUCGAUCCUUAGCACCA
rnacentral:tRNA from 1 species